AUGGCAGUUUCUUCAUUCAAUCCAAAAACCCAAACCUACACUUCCACCAGGCCCCCUAUCAAGCUCCCAACAAGCCCUGACCUCUCACUCACCUCCUUUAUAUUCCAAUCCACUUCCUCCAUCCCUCAUCACACCGCUCUCCUCAAUUCUAAUUCAAACGAAACCCUAACCUUUCUCCAACUCAAAGCUCAUGUUUCAUCUCUUGCUUAUGCAUUACGCCACCAAUUUCACGUUGCUAAACAUGAUGUCGUCCUUAUCUUUGCCCCCAACUCAAUACGUUUCCCCAUUUCUUUCCUUGCUAUCGUCUCUCUUGGUGCCAUUGCCACCACUGCCAACCCGUCAUUCACCUUCACCGAGAUAUCCAAACAAGUCAAAGAUUCCAAUCCCAAGCUUAUCAUCACAAUCCCUCAGCUUUAUAGCAAAGUUAGCCAGUUCAAUGUUCCAUUGGUUUUCUUACAAUCAUCAAGCUCCCCCAACUUAUCAUCAGCUAUUCCAAAAUUCUCUUUUUACUCGGAUAUUAUAAAAAACUACGCUGAACAUUUUUUGAAUUCGAAUAACGAUGUACAGCAGAACGAUGUGGCGGCAUUGAUGUACUCAUCUGGAACAACCGGAACCAGUAAAGGGGUGAUGCUGACACAUAAAAAUUUCAUCGCUUCGACCUAAAAUUUCACUGCCGAUCAAGACAGGUACAUGGAAGGAAGGAGUGUAUGUUUGUGUUUCUUGCCAAUGUUUCAUGGGUUUGGUUCGGUCAAUCGGUCUUAACGUUGGCACAAUUGAGAAGAGGAAAUUUAUUGGUAUCGAGAAGUACAAGGUCACGCAUAUGUUCGUUGUGCCUCCGGUUAUGGUUUCUUUGGCAAAGCAAUGACAGAUGAUGAACAAUAAGUAUGAUUUAUCAUCGUUGAAGCAAAUUAUCUCUAGUGCAGCCCCACUGAGCAGAGAUUUGAUCGAGACAUGUUCCCACAUUUUGCCCCAUGUUCAAAUUUUUCAGGCAUAUGGUAUGACAGAAGCUUGCGGGAAUAUUUCAAUGGAGAAUCCUAAGGAAGGCCCUCCUUUCUCAGGAUCAACCGGAACUCUAAUGCCUCUAAUUAAAUCCAAAAUUGUUAGUGUAACAACAACGAACCCCCUUCCUCCAGAUCAGAUGGGAGAAAUAUGCUUUCGAGGGCCCACUAUUACACUAAGUUAUUUUAACAAUCCAGAGGCUACAAAAGUAGGUAUCGAUUAACAAGGGUGGCUGCACACUGGUGAUCUAGGUUAUUUCGAUAAACAAGGACAAUUAUUUGUUAUAGAUUGAAUAAAGGAGCUUAUCAAAUGUUAUGGUUUACAGGUGGCACCGGCAGAACUAGAAGGGUUGCUUCUUUCUCAUCCUGACAUUGUUGAUGCUGUUGUUAUUCUAUUCCCUAAUAUUAAAGCUGGAGAAUUCCAAUUGCAUAUGUUGUUAGAGCAUUAAACAACUCACUAACAAAAAAAGAUGUUCAACUCACUAACAAAAAAAGAUGUUCAACUUUUCGUAAAAAGUAAGGUUGCACAUUAUAAAAGAUUGCGAAGUGUCACUUUCUUAAAAAGUAUCCCAAGAUUAGUGUCCGGAAAGAUUUUGAGAAGAGAACUCAUUGCAAAAGUUGGAUCCAAGAUAUAA